rnacentral:rRNA from 1 species
GAUGAACGCUGGCGGCGUGCCUAAUACAUGCAAGUCGAGCGAACGGACGAGACGCUUGCUUCUCUGAUGUUAGCGGCGGACGUGUGAGUAACACGUGUAUAACCUACCUAUAAGACUGGGAUAACUUCGGGAAACCGGCUCUAAUACCGGAUAAUAUUUUGAACCGCAUUGUUCAAUAGUGAAUUACGGUCUUGCUGUCUCUUAUAGCUGGAUCCGCGCUGCAUUAGCUAGUUGGUAAGGUAACGGCUUACCAAGGCAACGAUGCAUAGCCGACCUGAGAGGGUGAUCGGCCACACUGGAACGGAGACACGGACCAGAGUACUACGGGAGGCAGCAGUAGGGAAUGGGACGCAAUGGGCGAAAGCAUGACGGAGCAAGGCCGCGUGAGAGAUGAAGGUGUUGGGAUCGUAAAAAUGUGUUAUGAGGGAAGAACAGAUGUGUAAGGAAAUGAGGAGAGAGUGACGGUAACGAAUCAGAAAGCAACGGCUAACUACGUG